UACGUAGGUGGCGAGCGUUGUCCGGAUUUACUGGGCGUAAAGAGCGCGCAGGCGGCUGGUCAAGUCCGAUGUGAAAGCUCCCGGCUUAACUGGGAAAUUGCAUCGGAAACUGAUCGGCUGGAAGGUGGGAGAGGGUAGCGGAAUUCCCGGUGUAGUGGUGAAAAUGCGUAGAUAUCGGGAGGAACACCAGUGGCGAAAGCGGCUACCUGGCCCAUUCUUGACGCUGAGG
rnacentral:rRNA from 1 species